rnacentral:tRNA from 1 species
GCCUGGGUGGCUCAGUUGUUAAGCGUCUGACUUUGGCCCAGGUCAUGAUCUAGAGUCGUGGGAUCGAGCCCCGCAUCAGGCU